GAUUGCUGGUGACACGAAAGCUGUGCUCAACGCUCUUUUUCCUAUUCCACUGCACGUCGUGGUCUUUCCCUUGCUGGUUGGAUGACUACUAUGGACGAAGAGCACAACUACUUCCAGUCUCUGGUCGAUAAGUACCCAAGGAAGCAUAAAUGAAACUGUGUUUCAAGAACAAGGUGCUGCUACAUCAUUCAAGGAAAUUCGUCGUAGAGGUCUUUCUCUUUACCAGAUUUCGUAGCUGAAGUUUAUGAAGUAAUCAAACCGGUGUUAACUUCUUAUAUAAAGGUAGAUUCCCAAACUUUGAAGAAACACUACAGUACUGAGGUAAUUGAAUGUUGUAAGGCAGAGCAUCGGGCUUACUAGAGCCAAGGUAUCUUCUUCGAUAACAAGGAAUAAAGGAAAAUGAAAUAUAACCAAACUUGGGAUCUUUGCAAGCAAGCUUCCA